rnacentral:rRNA from 2 species
UUAAUUGAAGAGUUUGAUCAUGGCUCAGAUUGAACGCUGGCGGCAGGCCUAACACAUGCAAGUCGAGCGGUAACAGAAAGUAGCUUGCUACUUUGCUGACGAGCGGCGGACGGGUGA